UACGAAGGGGGCUAGCGUUGCUCGGAAUCACUGGGCGUAAAGCGCACGUAGGCGGCUUUCUAAGUCAGGGGUGAAAUCCUGGAGCUCAACUCCAGAACUGCCUUUGAUACUGGAGAGCUUGAGUCCGGAAGAGGUGAGUGGAACUCCGAGUGUAGAGGUGAAAUUCGUAGAUAUUCGGAAGAACACCAAUGGCGAAGGCGGCUCACUGGUCCGGUACUGACGCUGAUGUGCGAAAGCGUGGGGAGCAAACAGG
rnacentral:rRNA from 1 species